CUUGACCGAGCCGAGCAGCACGGGGCGCUCCCGCGGCCGGUCCUUGCCGUAGGUGGCCAGCAGGGCGUCGGCCUC
rnacentral:antisense_RNA from 1 species